GGGCGUCGGAAAGCGGCCUUCUGGGACUCCGCAAACUCCCGUUCUCCCUCCCCCCUCCCCCUUGCCAUUCCCUUUGCCUUCCGGGCGCCAAGUCUCUCUGGCCUCCAAGGUGAACCCAACUCCCCAGCGCGCCCCGGGUUCCCGGGUCGGGCCGGCUUCAGGCGGUGGGGAGCGGGAUCCCGGGCCCCGGGCGGGCGGGAGGGACGGGACGCGGUGCAGUGUUGUUUUUUCCCCCGCCAAUAUUGCACUCGUCCCGGCCUCCGGCCCCCCCGGCCCCCCGGCCUCCCCGCUACCCCUAGCGGGGCAGCCCCCGCCCUCCUGGCUCUCCAUCCCGGCGGAUCUUUGAUAGACUGGAGUGUCGCCGCUGCCACCGUGAGUGCUUGUGUCCGUGGUGAGAAGGGUGAUGGAGAGAAGUGGCUGCAGUUCCCACCCAUGGAGAGGUCACUGGUGAAUCCCAGCUAAAGAGGAAGGACAGGCCCGGCCUGAGUCCCACAGGCUUACCAUCUGAGUCCUUCUGAUUGGGAUUGGGUACCAGGCGGCAGUUAUCGGGACCAGGAGGCACAUAAUCUGGGAUGCCAUCAUUGUCAUCAUCCCCAUCACACUCAUCUCCAAGUCCAUCGUUAUCAGAGUCCAGCUGGGAGCUAUUUGGCAGCUGUGGGCAGUUGUCCUUGGUGUCCUGAUGCCCAUCCCCAUCGCUAAUCAGAAGAACAGGUUGGUGAAAGUCCCGAACUUUGUCUCCCCACCCAGAGGACAACUGGCCAGGAAAUCUGCCUGUUUCUUGUCUCACCCUCUAGUCCACACUCUGCCUAACACUACGCCCUACCUCACAUUCCUAUUGACAUCUGCUGCAGAUCACACCCUUGUGAUGGACAAACUGCUCAGUACAGUCCCACCCACCCAGCCUCCUUGUCCUGGGCACGAGGUUUUUGCCUCCCUGAUUUGGAGUAUUUGGCCCUUACUAGAGAGCUGCCAGAUGAGAACUCAGAGGCUCCUCCCGGCUCACCUGCAUCCUCAAAUACGCCUUCUGUCCAGUCCUAAUCUCCAGCCCAUCGACCUCCGCUGGAGGAAUGGGGGCCAGUGCUGGAAGGCCUGCAUGUUGGUCACCCAGUUUGCAGUCCACGUAGAGAUGUAGGGCAGGGCUGGGUCUGGAGGGACCUCGGAGUCGCAGGAGAACUGUGUGUGUGCGCCCAUCAGCCAGGCCCGCUUGCUGUAGGUUCACGGCGUGGACUUUGCCAUCCUCCCGCUGGUAUCGCACCAGUACUGCCCAGGAGGGGAGAUCAGUAUGGGCGCUAUCCCCCACCCCCUGCCUCCCAGCUGAGCCUUGGAUCAACUCUGCUAGAUACCACAUCUCUAGGGCCCCUAUCCCUAAUUCUACUAUGUGGCUCUCAACACCUUGUAUUUAAUAGGUACACAAUAAAUGUUUUUGAAAUUGC
rnacentral:lncRNA from 1 species